rnacentral:misc_RNA from 1 species
AAGUCGUAACAAGGUUUCCGUAGGUGAACCUGCGGAAGGAUCAUUAUCGUAUCUCUGGCGCGUGCGGGUGCGCCCUGCUCCGGUCCACUUCGGGCCGUGCAGCGGGCCGUUCGCCGCGUCCAACCUUCACAAACCCACUGUGCACCUUUCACGGCGGAGGGCUGCUGGCGAAAGCUGGCGUCCAAAGUCGCAUAUAACAAACCCCAAAAGUUCAAAAGAAUGAAACGCGACCUUGUCGUCGCCUAAACACAUAACAACUUUCAACAACGGAUCUCUUGGCUCUC